GCAAGGUGGCACAGUGGUGAGCGCUGUUGCCUCGCAAUAAGGCAGUUCUGGGUUCGAGCCCCAGCUGACU